UCGGCGAACAGCGCAAAUCCGGAACAUGCACAUCCGUCCGGACCGGAGAGGUCCGGACACAAAAGCCGCCGGAGCCGCCCUCCCUUCCAGAGGACCAUCACGACCAUCAUCAUCCGCUCCGGCAACGGCACCGGCACGACCAUCAACCGGUCCCGUUCUAUAUUCCGGCCAUACUCGGAGGUCCGCGAUGCAAUCGCAGCGUCCCACAAAAGAUCCCGAUGAAGGUGAUAAGAGUAAAAUCAAGUGGUUUUCCAACUCCCGCCUUUGUUCCCGUUAGAAAAAUGAGCCUGAAAAGUGUAGGAAACUUUGAGAAACGCAGCGAAAAAGAUUCUCAGAAGGACGAGAAUGAAAUUGGAGAAAGAGGAUUCUAAUCCUUUUGCAAUGCUUCGGAAACCAAUCUCCCAAAUCACAGUCAUUUGCAGAAAGUACGGAAAUCUGCGGCCAACGCACACGGGUAAAAGGGCAUCGGAAACCGGCACCGGUUCGCGAUGCCGCUAAGGUCUUGCAGCAACAAUCGAUUUCUCCUUCCAGCCACCAACGGAAUCGAACAGAAUAUAUCUAAUCGCGGAACAGCUCAUAUCCGGAUCAUCCGCUUCCGUGCAAGAAAACAAGUGGCCCUGCGUCUUCCCAUCGUCAUCGUCAACCACUCUAAGUCAUCAGAUCCGCCGUGGCCGAACCCGAAGUUCACCUUUCGAUCCGAGCGGAUGGUCGAUAUGGUGUGUAUGAUCGAGCAUGCUCCCGCCUCCUGCUCGGUGGCCAUCCGAGCGAUCUGAUCGAGUUCGACAUCGGCACGGCAAGCGAACUGUCGGGUAUGCAGGCACAAAUGGUUCCAAAUGCGUGCUAGAUCUUGCGACGCCACUCGCGCUACCUCUGUGCCGUUGACGCUUUCGGAAAAGAUUGCACUGCGUGACCCAAACUCGCUGACCAUGGAGCACGAGCUCCAUACGCAUUCGGCCAGUCUGUCCGGUUGUUUCGCUCCACAAUCCGCGAUGAUAGGAACACUAUUGCUCGAAGGAGUUUUGUCUUUCGUGUGAGCUCGGUUUCCUCUUUCACAUGCUGGACGUUGGUAGCUCGAGCUCACCGUGCCAGGCAAGCAACUUGCUGCGCUCGUUCCGCACCGUCCCGGAAGCGGCCGCUCUCGGGUUGAUUCUUUUGUCCGACCGUGCCCCAAAUACGGCGAACAUCAAUCUGAUCAGUUUGAUACAGAACUGGAAUCGGUUCGUGCUGCAUCAGAUACACUACGAGCUGUUUGAAGCGAUGAAAAACAACGAAACAAGAACAUCCGCAACACCAUCAGCCCAUAGGACAGCACUCGUUCGACCAGCAACAGCAGCAGGUGCACAAGUUUCAAAUUCUUAACCUUGGCAAUGGUGCAAAAGUACCAUCGGGACAGCAGCAGCAUCAGCAACCAACUGCUAAUAGCGCUGCAAAAGAAAUGAAACGAAUAUUAACUGUCUGUUUGGCACGCAGCAACAAACGACUCACCAUUGCCGGAAAUGCAACACGAUACGAGUAAAAGAUAACGUGCUUCUGGUCUGCUGUAUCCGACGAGCACCAUCAACAACGUCGAGGGUACGUUCGGCCUGGUGCGAAACGUGCAACUAGUUUACACCAACGAACCAAAAAUUCCGUGUCACCGAUCUGCUCUUCAUCCUGUCCAUCAGCUGCGGGCUGGAAAACGAGAAGAAACUCGAUUACUUGGGGCGUCAAAUGGCUCACGGUACGGCACAAGGAACGGCACAGACUCAACAGUCAAGAGGAUCGUCAGGAGAUCAAUCCAGAACAGCCGUUUCAUAUAACGGAUCUAGCACGAGCACCAAGAUGUGGCGUUACGGCACGAACUGCUCGCGAGUUUAUUAUCACUUUGGACAUCCACACAAAUCCUCACCCUGCGUCAUAUCACCAGCCCCGGUGUUCAAGUGUUCAAGUCUAUAUUGUGCCAAAAUAAAAUGCCAUCGACAUGAGACCCAUUAUGAUGGUUGUGGCGCUACAGACGGAUGAUUUUCGGAAUCUACUUCCUAGCCUAAAAAGAAGCACAUGAACAGGAAGAGAAAAGGCGCUGCUAGAUGAUGAUGCUACAGUGGACGUCGGAUUUGAAUGCAAAGAGAGCGCGAGAUACGGGCAGUCAAGAACGCAAGGAUCGGUUGACGAAAGAGAUGCGCUAACACUUGGGCUUCGAGGAUGAUCCACGCAACAAACGGUUCCAGGAGAUGCUACCGAUCGAUUAAAUACCACGUUGCGCCGUUAGCAUUUCGGGUGUGCACCGCGCACACCGCGACCAUUAUCAUAGUUUGGCCACCAUUUCAUAGUAAAGCGGCUUACGCAUAAAUUAUCGCAUAAGAAGGGGACCAAAUUUAACGAAUAAACUUACGCUCAAUUUUGAU